rnacentral:ncRNA from 1 species
GUGUAUCUUUGAGGCUCAUUAUGAAAAACAAAACAGUAAAUACUUGGUGGUGGAUCUCGCAACAGUAACGUCGUGAAGCAACCUUGUAUUUAAUAUCAAAAUAAAAAAGGCCUGUC